rnacentral:rRNA from 1 species
GACGAACGCUGGCGGCGUGCUUAAUACAUGCAAGUCGAGCGAGGUCCAUCUGGUGGCAACACCAGUGAAGGCCGAGCGGCGAACGGGUGAGUAACACGUGAGCAACCUGCCCCGAAGUCUGGAAUAACAUCGGGAAACCGGUGCUAAUACCGGAUCGCCCCACCUGACCGCAUGAUCGGGUGAGGAAAGAUUUAUCGCUUCGGGAGGGGCUCGCGGCCUAUCAGCUAGUGGUGGGGUAACGGCCUACCAAGGCAUCGACGGGUAGCUGGUCUGAGAGGACGACCAGCCACACUGGGACUGAGACACGGCCCAGACUCCUACGGGAGGCAGCAGUAGGGAAUCUUGCGCAAUGGGCGAAAGCCUGACGCAGCAACGCCGCGUGGGGGAUGACGGCCUCGGUU